rnacentral:rRNA from 1 species
AGACCAAGGGUUCCUGUCCAACGUUAAUCGGGGCAGGGUGAGUCGACCCCUAAGGCGAGGCCGAAAGGCGUAGUCGAUGGGAAACAGGUUAAUAUUCCUAUACUUGGUGUUACUGCGAAGGGGGGACGGAGAAGGCUAUGUUAGCCGGGCGACGGUUGUCCCGGUUUAAGCAUGUAGGCGGAGGUUCCAGGUAAAUCCGGUACCUUUUAACGCUGAGGUGUGAUGACGAGGCACUACGGUGCUGAAGUAACAAAUGCCCUGCUUCCAGGAAAAGCCUCUAAGCAUCAGGUAACAUCAAAUCGUACCCCAA